rnacentral:rRNA from 1 species
UACGUAGGUGGCAAGCGUUGUCCGGAUUUACUGGGCGUAAAGGGCUCGUAGGUGGCCAACUAAGUCAGACGUGAAAUCCCUCGGCUUAACCGGGGAACUGCGUCUGAUACUGGAUGGCUUGAGUUCGGGAGAGGGAUGCGGAAUUCCAGGUGUAGCGGUGAAAUGCGUAGAUAUCUGGAGGAACACCGGUGGCGAAGGCGGCAUCCUGGACCGACACUGACGCUGAGGAGCGAAAGCCAGGGGAGCAAACGGG